AUGGCCGAGCCGGACCAAAUGGGUUGGCCGGUUGGGUGCACUGGGAAGAAUGGCGCGGACAAGGCCGGACAGCGGCCAAAGUGGCGACCCAAACGGACAAAAUGCGCAUCCGUUUUGCGUCCCUGCGUUGGAGUUGGCCUUAGUCACCACAUCCCUACAUUGUAUCAGAGGACGGGGCGUGAGGAGAUGAUGGUGGCGACGGCCGCUGAGGCAGCAGGAUCCGGCAGUGAGACGUCGAAUCUGGGCAAGCAGCAUGCGAGGAAGUGGGGCUGCGUGCGAGUUUGUGGUGUAGCAAGGCAGCGCAGACGUCGACGGGACGUGAACGGCGACAGCGGGGCUGGGAGGAAGAAACAAAGGAAACCGGAUGGAAAUAGGAAGGAGAAGGAGAGGGUGAAGAGGUCGGCCGAGGUGGUUUCUUUGAGGGAUCAAAUUGGUGAUAUGGUGAAGAUCAAAGAAACUUUGUUGGCCAAGCAUUUGGCAACAAAGGUUGAAUUGACUGAGAAGAAAGACAAGCACAAAGAGAAGUGGGCAAGGAGGUCUGUCUUUGAGGAGCACAAGAUUGCUCUAGAGGAGCAAAGGAGAGAUGAGAAGACCGCCGAGGAGGACCGGUUCAUGAUGAUGAAUCCGGAGGGCAUGGAUGUGAUGACAAGAGAAUUUUGGGAGAUGAAAAGGAUGGAGAUCAUGUGCCGAAGGAGGGUGGAGCUUCAAAAUCUUAUGGCCGGUCGUGGUGGUUUUGCUUUCGGCAAUGGUGGGUUUGGAGGUGGCGAUGGUGGUGGGUUUGGAGGUUUUGGAGGAGGGUUUGCAUUCGGCAAUGGUGGUGGGGGUGUUGGGUUUGGAGGUGGAGGUGGUGGUCUUGGGUUUGGAGGUGGAGGAGGUGGUGGCGGCGAUGCUUCGGCCAACGGUGGUGAAGAUGCUUAUGUUGGGAAACGUAGCAUGCAAUUUCAAAAAAUUCCCUACGCUCACGCAAGAUCUAUCUAG
rnacentral:rRNA from 1 species